UGGUCCAAUUGGAAGUGAGAGUUUUUUUUAUGUUUGUUGUUUUUAAAAGUAACUUGAGCGAUGAUAUCAAAUCGAGUGUCAGCUUGUAUGAUGCAUCAUCUCUCUUCGGCCAUCGAUGGCUAUUACCUCAUUGCGCUUAUCAUCACUUGCUUUACUGGGAAGGGUCCUUCCUCUUCCCUCAUUCCCACGUCUUUCAUCCUUUGACUCACCCUCCGGUCCUUCUCCUCUUCCUGCCCUCUUCUUUAUCUUCUCUGGCUCUCCACUUGCCCCGACAUGUUUCCUCUUCUCGAUAGGGUAAAUAUUUAUUGCAACAGUAAUACUAUAUCAAAUUUAUAACAAGUCAAUCAAAAAUCAAAAAUCAAU
rnacentral:lncRNA from 1 species